GGCUGGUUAGCUCAGUUGGUUAGAGCAUGGUGCUGAUAACACCAAAGUCACGGGUUCCUUCCCCCUACGGGCCA
rnacentral:tRNA from 1 species